UAGCAGAGGUCCCAAGCGUUUGUUCGGAUUCAUUGGGCGUAAAGGGUGCGUAGGCGGCGCGGUAACGGUCGGUGUAGAAUCGUGAGCUUAACUCCGAAACUGCAUUCGAUACUGCCGUGCUUGAGGACUGGAGAGGAGACUGGAAUUUACGGUGUAGCGGUGAAAUGCGUAGAUAUCGUAAGGAAGACCAGUGGCGAAGGCGGGUCUCUGGACAGUUCCUGACGCUGAGGCACGAAGGCCGGGGAGCAACGGG
rnacentral:rRNA from 1 species